UACGGAGGGUGCAAGCGUUAUCCGGAUUCACUGGGUUUAAAGGGUGCGUAGGCGGGCUUGUAAGUCAGUGGUGAAAGCCCGGAGCUCAACUCCGGAACUGCCGUUGAUACUGCAAGUCUUGAGUACACUUGGAGGUGGGCGGAAUACAUCAUGUAGUGGUGAAAUACUUAGAUAUGAUGUAGAACACCGAUUGCGAAGGCAGCUCACUAAAUUGUAACUGACGCUGAGGCACGAAAGCGUGGGGAUCAAACAGG
rnacentral:rRNA from 1 species